UACAGAGGUCUCAAGCGUUGUUCGGAUUCAUUGGGCGUAAAGGGUGCGUAGGCGGCGCGGUAAGUCGGAUGUGAAAUCUUGGAGCUUAACUCCGAAACUGCAUUCGAUACUGCCGUGCUUGAGGACUGGAGAGGAGACUGGAAUUUACGGUGUAGCGGUGAAAUGCGUAGAUAUCGUAAGGAAGACCAAUGGCGAAGGCGGGUCUCUGGACAGUUCCUGACGCUGAAGCACGAAGGCCAGGGGAGCAAACGGG
rnacentral:rRNA from 1 species